GGAGGCGGCCAGGCCUGCAGGGGCUGUUUUGGAGGGCUGGCCAUGCGGGCAGCUGCAACCUGGGCAUGAACAGACAGAGACCCUCCAAGCUCCCUCGGCCGCACGCUGGGGGUGAGCACAGGCAGCCACAGGCGUCUUCCAAGCCAGAUGAGCCCGCCCUGCAGCACUGCGAGCACUUGGGACGCCAGACUCUCCUCAGGCGGCGGGCCCCGAGGGCGCUGCGACAGCUCAGCACCCACUACAGAUCAGCGACAGGACAACCCCAGUGCAGAGACACAGACGGGAAGCGUGUGGGGGUCCUGGCAUAGGCCCAGUUCAACGAUUUCCCCUCCCUGGGGCUAAGGUCUCAGCCGUGAAGGGCUCUAGGGAGGGGAGGUCAGAGUGGCCUGGAGAGCUCUCCCUAAGGAGGGGCCUCAGUCCAGGUCCAGCACGGGAGGGCCGUGGGGUCCGUGGGAUCUGCAGGGGAAUCGCCGGGGCUGGCCCUAAGGCUCUCCGGCCAGCGCCAGGGAGGCAGGGGCUCCAAACCAGCAGGCUGCUCAGGGUGGUCCUCGGACAGCAGCCAUGCCCUCCCAGGGAGCGUGCCAGACACACAGACCUUUCCCAGCCUCCAGACCAGAACCUGCAUUUUUUUAGGAGCUUUCUGGGGCACCCUCAUCUGUGACCUGCCUCCAGGGACACUUUCUCACUCUACAGACAACACUGAUGUGAAGAUGCAGGAGACAGGACAACCCCCCAUGAAGGGUCCUGUCCACCUACCACUGAGGCCUGGCCCGACUUUCUACAAGGCUGCUGGGGGGAAGUGCCUGUCGGAGUAAAGGAAACACAGCCCCAC